UAAGUAGUAACUCAUAUGUUUCACAACCUGCUCAAAACUCUGCCAGCCAUCUUUUGUCGAAAAAUCAUUUGUUUCGUGUCUUCAGGGUAAAUUUCACAAUUGUAAUUAAUGUCAGAGCCACAGUCUUCGCUUUUAUUAAAAAAGCAAUUAGCUGAACUGAACAAAAACCCAGUAGAAGGCUUUUCUGCUGGCUUAAUAGAUGACAAUGAUAUAUACAAAUGGGAAGUCCUCAUUAUUGGUCCCCCAGACACACUAUACGAGGGAGGUUUCUUUAAAGCACAUUUAAAUUUUCCCAAGGAAUAUCCUUUGAGACCACCCCGGAUGAAAUUUGUGACUGAAAUAUGGCAUCCAAACAUUGAUAAAAAUGGUGAUGUCUGCAUAUCAAUACUCCACGAGCCAGGUGAUGACAAAUGGGGUUAUGAAAAAGCUUCAGAACGAUGGUUACCUGUGCACACAGUUGAGACUAUACUGAUCAGUGUAAUUUCAAUGCUCGCUGAUCCAAAUGAUGAGAGUCCCGCUAAUGUUGAUGCUGCAAAAGAAUGGAGAGAACGAUAUUCGGAAUUCAAAAAGAAAGUUGCCAGAUGUGUUAGGAAAAGUCAAGAAGAUUGCUUCUAGGAGCAAAAGGAUAUUUAGAAAAGAAUAUAUAUAUUGCUGAAAAAGGGCCAUUGUGACACCGGCAAACAUUUUACUACAAACACUGAAAAACGUUAUACAUUUGGCAUCGCCGUACGCAUCCCCUUACACCAAAUCCGCACACGUCCACAGCUGAUGUGUUUGCUUAUUCUGUUUCAUUUUUGCAGAAAGAGUGGAGAGAAUCCUAUUCGGAGUUUAAAAGGAAAGUAGCACAGUGUGUGAGAAAGAGCCAAGAGGAUUGUUCCUAAUAACAGUGCCCUUUUUCAUAAUUUGUUUGGAUUGUGAGAGUGAUUGGUGAGAUGUGGUUAGGACGCUGAGCGGACGCCCCCGCCUGGCCCAGAGACUAUAUUCAAAUUGAUUUAAAAUAAAUACUUAUAAUAAUGAGAUGGUAUCGCUGCCGUAUUUUAUAAAUAAAAUAGAAUUGAAGGUCUUUUUUUCAUCUUUUUUAAGACAUGUUAGUUAGCAAUUGUUAUAAUGAUGAAAUGUGUAAGGUAAUUUUAUAGAAAAAUAAAUCUGCAUUUUUUUCUUCGUAAUCCCCCCUAUAUUGUCUGCUUUGAAGUAUGAUCUCUAUAUGAUAAAAACCAAAUUUCAAAAUGUUUUUUUAUGUAUUCAAAGUAUGAAAAUAGCAGCUUUAAAGAAUGUGCAUAAUACAUUUAAAUUAUUGGUUACUGAAGAGCUUUUAUUCAAUAAUCAUUGUUCGUGCUUUACGAACCCAAAUUAAUGUAGUGCUGAUUUUAUAAUCCACAUUAAUACCUAAUACUUUCAUUAAAUAAAAAAUACUUUCUGUAAAAAUUGUAUCAAUUUCACUUUGCCUUAAUGCAAUGAAGUAGGUUUUUUUAAAUCAUUAAGCUUUUGAGUUUUGUAUAUUGUUUCAAAGAGUUGAGAUGGUGUCUUAAACAUACGCUUUAUAUAAAAUCAAUACAUAUUGUUACCGAGAUAAAUACAUAUAUAGUGAGAAAUGCAUAGUGAUGAACCCCUAUUUUGGUCUACAUCAUGAUCGUUGAUUUGUAAUGUGUGUAUACUGUUUCUCUGUAUGUAUAUUUUUUGCUAUAAAAUCAAUGCAGUGAA